UGAACAUGUUGAACCAAAGUGCAAUCUUGAGGUUUUUGUUAAUUAUAUUAUUUGCUAGUAAUUAGGGCAUUUUAAGACUUCUUGCUUUGUGUAAACACGUAAUUGACUACUUACUUCUUGGUGACACCAGACAACUGUUGACCAACUCACUUAUGUCUUCCAAACGACCCAUUUCGCAUGCUGGCAGCUCUACUGGCUGUACACUAUCAGACAUUUCAUCAAACCUUUCAUCUUCUGAUUCUUCUACUAUGUCCUGAGUAAUUUCAACUGAAGGAUCUUUUCCUUGAACCUAUAAGAAUAAAGUUGAUGUUUUAAA